CAUGGCCGCCAUAGCACCACGUUGGCGGGUGUGGAGCACUGCUCCACGCUAAUGUGCACGCCAAACAUGUCCUUACGUCAUACAAAGUCAUGACUGUGUCACCAAAGGAUUAGUCACUCUUUCAGGCCCUCCAAAAUGUACGCACACCUGUUUCUCUUCAGGGAUUUACAAGAUGCACCAUCAACGUAUUUUCGCUUGAACGACAUAUUUUCGCUUGGCUAAUGUAAAAUGUAACUAAGGAUAAAAACUGGCUCUUGAUCCUUAUGGACACUGACUUGCGGCAGAUCUCCUGUGAAGCAUGAUUCAUGGCCGCUGGCUGGUGUCAUCAGCUCUCGAAGUGUUCCCAGGUGGUCUCCCUCCCUAGGUACUGAAAGCUUCCAGUGCUCCUUGGCUUUGUUGUUCUGACCUGAUGGCCUCUCUGGGGAACUGGCAACUUAGUGUCCUUGGCUGUAGAUUGACAAGCACGCAUAAACAAAAAUCAAAAGCUGUCUUACUGAAAAUGUUGUUCAGGAACCAUUAAAUCUGUUUGCGAACCUA